rnacentral:rRNA from 1 species
UACAGAGGGGGCAAGCGUUGUUCGGAAUUACUGGGCGUAAAGGGCGCGUAGGCGGCCUUCUAAGUCGAACGUGAAAUCCCCAGGCUCAACCUGGGAACUGCGUCCGAUACCGGCAGGCUUGAAUCCGGGAGAGGGAUGUGGAAUUCCAGGUGUAGCGGUGAAAUGCGUAGAUAUCUGGAGGAACACCGGUGGCGAAGGCGGCAUCCUGGACCGGUAUUGACGCUGAGGCGCGAAAGCGUGGGGAGCGAACAGG